CCAGUACAAUAAACCCUACUUCUUUUUCACUGACAACUACAGUUCAGACUAGGUAAUCCAUCUGAAGCGAAGCAGGUUUGGGUCUGACCAGUACUUAGAUGAGAGACCAGCUAAGAAAGCUAGGUUGCUGCUGGA
rnacentral:rRNA from 1 species